GCACAGUCAGCUUGAUGUUGAGGAGAAGGGCUGUGCAGCAGAGAGGCGCUUUAGUUUUUCAUUCUCCUGCAGUGGAAGAACAUUGCUGCUCUGCUGUCUCUUUGACUUUAACAACUCCAAAGACAUGUUGCUUCACCUCUUUUUACUUUGCUCUCACUUUAUAGCCCUGAGUUCCAUGAACAGCAUAAAGCCAGAAAGGACUGAAGAACAUGUUGCAGAGGGAAGAAACAUCAACCUGGCCUGUAAAUAUGAGGGUGUUAUCUCCAAUAUCCAGUGGUACCGACAAUACCAGAGAUCCAGACCAGAGUUCCUGCUCUCCAUCGCAGAGGGAGGAUCGAUCCAUCCAACUGGUUCUGCUUUCUCAGCUCACAUCAACAAAACAGAGAAACGUGUAGAUGUGGAGAUCAUCUCAGCUAAAGUGACUGACUCUGCUGUGUACUACUGUGCUCUGCAGCCCACAGUGACAGGAAACAGCAAAACUCUGCACAAAAACCUCUGCAGCAAACACAACACAAUACUCCACAACGUCCACUAGAGGGUGUCACACACU